CCCUUAGAUGUUCUGGGCCGCACGCGCGCUACACUGAUGCAUUCAACAAGCCUAGCCUUGACCGAGAGGUCCGGGUAAUCUUUGAAACUGCAUCGUGAUGGGGCUAGAUUAUUGCAAUUAUUAAUCUUCAACGAGGAAUGCCUAGUAAGCGUGAUUCAUCAAAUCGCGUUGAUUACGUCCCUGCCCUUUGUACACACCGCCCGUCGCUCCUACCGAUUGAAUGUGUUGGUGAGGAGCUCGGAUUGGCAGCAGUUUGUGGUUCGCCACCGGCUAUUGCUGAGAAGUCCUCCAAACCGCCCCAUUUAGAGGAAGGAGAAGUCGUAACA
rnacentral:rRNA from 1 species